UGUAAUAACCCUUUCCAUCGCGCAUGGCUUCAGAAAUUACCUCAGUCAUCUAACAUGGCGAUCUGCGAAGGGAACUCGCUUGUAGAAGUCAUCCUUUCGAUAAUUUUUGAACGAGUAAUACGUAAAGUUAUACAAGACUAAACGAAGAUGAAAGCAGUUCCAAGAGCCCAGAAGUAUUGCAGAGGAGCCUAGUUGACCGAUAUCUGAAUUAUAAUUACGUUCAAAGAAGCUACAUGGAUUUCUACGUUCAACGUGAUAAUUAAACAUUCGACAUCUGAAAUGAAACACACGUACAUCGGUACUUCCUGUUUUUCCUUACAUCAGACGAUAUGUCCUAUUUGGAUAAGACAAAUAUCCGACCGUCAACCAGGUUAGGAAAGGAAAACGUUUUUCUCUUCAGUCUUAUGUUUAAAUGAUUUUAUCAUGGCGACGAGAGUAUUUCUAUCGAUGAGUGGGUUAUUAGGUCUCUUACCUUAAGCAAUUUUAAAGGUAUUAUUUCAAUAUAAAUCAAUAAUCCGUAUAAUUUUCAACUGCUGUAAUAAAGAAUAUUCGAUAUAGGAAACAAGAUGCUUGAUGUAGGAGAGGAGAUGGUAAAAACGGCGGAGGAAGAUGAUGCUGCUUGCGAAUUUAUUACAAAUCUUGCCAAUAAUCUGAAACCCAAGUUGGUGAGAGAGGAAGCUAAUUAUCUAGUGUAUGAAAGCAACAUGUUACUAUUGCUAGAACAAUAAUAUAACAACCAUCGACUUCAAUAUUGAAUUUAAAUAAACGAGCGCAUUGGAUCGUGAAUGCAGAAGAGUGGUUUAAAAACCAGUUGGAAAUUCUAACCAAGGAAGAAACAUCGUUAGCUAUUGUUCAUGUAUGCGUUAUCUGAUUGGGAAUACUUAAGAAGAGGAAAAAGAAGAAAAAACAUUUGUGCUUGACGACGAAGCUUGGAAAGACCAAUAUGGCGCUGUUUUAUGAAGCUUGGAACAGCGGUAAGAGGAAAUGGGAGAGAUUUACAUUUUUCAAAGGAUCCAAACGUGAGCGGCUUUAGCUGGAGCGUAUAUUCGAUUGAACUCGGAAAGAUUUAUUGAAAGGUCGUCCGAAGUUUCACAUGGGGCAAGAAUCAAAGGUGACUUGACAUGAAACUGCGGGAUGUAUAUAAUACAGAAUAAUUUAACAGACUGGAAUAACCAAAAGAUUCACCGUUUUUGGAAAUAAUGACUAGCAGUGGAAUACUUUUAAAUUAAACGUGAAAUAGGAAGUCCACGUUCACGUCAUCGUUAUUCCAUUGAUUGAAAUUAAGUAUUCAUCCGAUAUAAUUAAAAAGAGAGAAACGUUGAAUUUUAUAUUCCAAUUUGUUUGUCAUGAUAUUCACAUCUAUUUAAAAAAUAUUCGUAAUAUUUAAUUAGCGUUUUCCAUAAAUUUUGAAAUUGCACGAAGUAAUUUGGUCAGUAGCGCGAAUUGCCCAUUUAAUUCGUUCUGAAAAGGAUUUAGUCACAAUGAAUGUCCGUGAUACGUUCUCCCUUACUUAUCAUUAAGUACCUUCCUUUUAAAUCUUUCGUUAUUAACUCUCUUCAUCUGCGUGCGCCCCUAUUUGCGUCAGUCGAGUGGCCGGGAUGGAGUAUGCUGUUCUGUGUUCGUGGGUGCGUCUAACUGCUGGCUUAUGUUGAUAAUAAGGAAAUAAUUCUUUCAUUUGCUUUUCUUUCAUCAGACCAAGCAGAUAAUUGAUGUUUAGCUGUAUCAUUUAAUUACCUAUGUAGAUUCAUUGUUUGACAAUACAGUCACAUAUUUUGCAGAGUAAUGGACUAUAUUCUUAGAUAUCAAUUGAUUUGGAACAUAAUAUAGGAAAUUUAAGAUAACUAGAAUUAUAACGGGGUUAUUAUUUUGCAUUCUCCAAUAGGAGGUAAUUUUCUAGAAAAAUGUAUUCGUUCAUAUGGAAGAAUCCAUUCUUCCUACUACAUCGAUCUGCAAAAGACUUAAUCAGGGAAUUAAAUCGUUCAGCUAAAUGGAUAAUUGAAUUAUUCCGCUAGUCGUUUUAUGGAAUUGUCUGCUUUGUUUGAUGAAAGGAAGACUAAUGAAGAAAUACCUUUCUUGUUUUCAAAAUAAGGGAGCAAGUGUACGUUGACACGCGCACUCAUUCCCGCCCACUUGACUCGCGUACGUAAACACGUACGUGCACGGAUGGAGGUAAUAAUAAAUCGUUUAAUAUGAUAAGGCUGGACAGUAGCUAUGAGAGAAGGUAUUGCGUACGCGCAGAUCGUUAAAAUCCGAUCAAUACGUAAAUGUCUACCUGGAAUUCCUCUUCGGUAUUACUUACAGCACGAAACUCACUCGUGUUUGGAAAUUUUGCGAUUCCCUUAAUGAAAAAGAAGUAAAUAAGUAAACGGAUUGGUAGUCUCAAAUUGUAUAUUACGACAUCACGGAAUGAUGCAUAACAAUAAUAUAAUACUUUCCUGGUUUCCUGACUAAUUAGUCGAGGGAUCUAUUUAUACUACUCGAAGUUUCAAUACGAAGUGAGCUCAACUUUGAAAAUCUCUUUCCCCAGUUUUAUGAAUAUUUGUUUACUUCAUCAAAUAUCACUAUAUCGUACGAGGCAUACUCAUGUACUAUUACAAACACAUCCUUCUUAUCGCUCUCUUUAAGCAUAUUAGAUAAGCAUCCAGACCGCUGUGAACGUACUUCUUUUUCAUAAGUAUACAAUAAUCAUUAUUGUAAUAAUUAAUUAUAUUAUAAAUAAUUACAGUUUUAUGAUUAUUUCAGUUAAAGAAGAUCAGAAUAAUUGUCAAUUUCAUUGGAAGAUUUCCAGAUUCAUGAGAUUAUUUUGCGUGUACAUAUAUUAUAUAUUACUGUUACUACAUAAUUACAGUAGAGGGGAAAUUUCUCAUCUUUUGCGUUCUAAUUAGAGAAUUAAAAUCCAGAAAGUUUGGUUUUCUAAUUUGAAAAUGUCACCUUAAACUGUAAUUCUUAUUACUUACAUUAUGAUAUAAUGCAUUAUUAUUAAUGAUUAUUUCAAUUAUUAACGUUAUAUCGAAUUAAUUGCUAUGAAAGUAUUUAAAUUAACUCACGUACGAAAAUUCUUGUUUCCUCUUUCGUAAAUCCAAGUUAUAUUUAAAAAUAGUGUUCCAUUACUAUUGGAUAUGGACGAUACUACUAUUUUCGUAUUACGAAAUUCCUUUUGUGAAAUCUUCUCUUGUAAAAUAUUUCUUCGUUGGAAGGUAUAUCUUCUUUGGUAUUCUUUGAAAACAUUGCAUCCAAUAUUACCUUUCCUUCUUGUAAACACAUACCUAUUGCUUAAGUUAACAAAGACAUCCUUUUCUUUAUUACGCAAUAGUAAUAAAAUAUAUUGCUUCGAAUAAAAUCCUGUCUCACAUUUAUUUUUUUAUCGUAAUAUUACUUUCUUUCCUUUUUCUUCUUCGAGAGAACCUCAGAAUUAUUUAAUGAUAUAUCGCAAAGAAUUUAAUGUAUAUUGAAGAACCACUGUUUCCACCGCAACUUUUUGAGAAAUACAUAUUUUUCUGAAGUUUUCUAUUGUAAUGACACAAUAAAAGAAAUCAAAAGAUCGUUCAAUUACUAAGUUACAUGAAAAGAAUAUCAGUCGAUCUUACGAAAGAGAACGUGGGUUGUGUUUUCACGACAAUAUGAGCCCUUCUCUGUUUCACUGAAGGAGAAUAAUAACAAGAAGUUGUAUAUAUAGCGAAAUUCGAUGAAGUAAACAAGCGAUCGUAAAACUGGAGAAAGAGAUUUUCAAAGCUGAAAUCAGUUCGUACUGAAGCUUCGAGUAGUAUAAAUAGAUCCCUCGAAUAAUUAGUCAGAAAACUAGGAAAGUAUUAUGUAUUAUUAUGUAUCAUUCCGUGAUUUCGUAAAAUGCAAUUAUCUCCAUAUCUGUUUUUUUUUUUUUAUUAGAAGAUCGGCUAGAUGUCCAAAUACGCACACGUCUCAUGAUAUAAGAUAUAAGCGGUGAAUAAGAAUUUCAAAUAGGCGUUUAUACAGCCACGUUAGAAAAAAUAAAUAUUAAUCUGGAAGAAAACGAUAGAAGUGAUAGUUAUAUCAUCUAUCAAAAAAACAAGAGAUCUCAUCGAUGAAAGAGAUGCAAAUAUGUGAACUACGUUUGUUCGAUAAAGUACCAUCGAUUUGCUGAGAGCUAACGUCCGAAAGGGUUCAUGGCAGUUAUGGUUAUUACGUUUUACGCACAUUAAUUGCUCACACGAACGGAAAGGUCGAAAAUGAAAUUAAUUAAGGAGUAUUGAGCUUCUCUUUUAUUAAGGAACAAUAUCUUUUAAUUCGCCAUAUUACUUUUUUUUUUCUUUUUCCUUCACAGCUUAUAAUUUGAAAUUAAUUAAAGAAUAUUGACUAUUGACAAUCAAUUUUUUUUAUUUAUCUACUUAAAAAUGACUAUCAUUAAGAAUUAAUUUCUCCUUUGUUUAUCUCUUGAAACUAUCAUUUUUUUUCCUGUAUUACGCAAUAAUAAGAGAUAUGAAUUCAGAGAGAAUCUUUCUCCAUAUUCAUUUUUUUUCCGUUACAUCGUCUUUUUCUCUACGUAUUUCAUUUGAAUGCGCUUUACGUAGGUGGAUUAAAAUUUUUUGUUAAUCGGCCGAAAAGGAUAUGUGUUCGGAGGAAACGAAUUUCUCGACCAAUCCCUUUUAAUUCGACGUAACAUUAUUCGUUCGAAUAGUGGUACGAUUAGGCCUUUUUCAUGAAUACAUC